rnacentral:misc_RNA from 1 species
AAAGUGCGAUAACUAGUGUGAAUUGCAUAUUCAGUGAAUCAUCGAGUCUUUGAACGCAACUUGCACUCUAUGGUUUUCCGUAAAGUACGCUUGCUUCAGUAUCAUAAAGACCCCAUCCUGAUUAUUAUUUUUUUAUUAAAAUAAUUAAUUUUGGAGAUAAUAAAAAUGAGGCUCUUUCUUUUCUUUUUUUUUUUUUUAAAAAAAAGGGGGGGAAAGGGUCUUUUAAAAUGGGCAAAUUCUGGGUUUUUUACUAAACCUGAACUCCCCCCAAAAAUUCAAAAAAAAAAAAAUGGGUUUUACCAAAUUUUUUUUUUUUUUCUCCUUUUUGUGUAGUUAAUACUCUAUUAAAUUUAUUUACUUGGUAUUAUAACGAUUAUGCAAGAAGGGAGAGAACAAAGAAUAAUGAAAGAGAGUUUUUAUAUAAAUUCUUUUUUCAUUUUUUCAAUCAAUGAUCUGAAGUCAAGUGGGAUUACCCGCUGAACUUAU